AUGUAUGCAUGACUAAAACAUUAAACAUGCAGUUUGGUGAAGGAUGAAUUCCCUCUAAUUACUCUAAAAUUUUACCUGCUUUUCUUCACUAUAGUUCAUCAUUAUUACAUUCUCUGUUACCAAGUAAAAUUUGAUUCUGGGUCCACUAUUAGAAUGAACUAAAAGUUUUUAUUUAGUAGAAUCCUUUGGAGAGGUGUAAUGAUAAUCAUAAUAACAUCCCUACAGUAAAAGCAGUCCUUGCUUUGACUUUCCUAUUCCAACUUCUCUUGUAACUUACACUGCUUUGGCUAAAACAACUUCAACCUUUUAGCUUUUGUCAGUACUUUCAAAGGAAACUCCUUAUACUCAAAAAGAGUUUGCAAUGGGGUUAACUAGGAUGUGCUAUUUUGGUAGUUGUCAAGUUGAUUCCAUUUGUAAGAGUUAGAUACCAUUUUAUCCGCAAAGGAAGUUCUUGCAGUUCACAGUCUAUAUUUAUUGCAUGAUGUAACAAACCACCUGUUGAUUUUGCAUGUUAUGAUAUGAGUCCUCCUUCAAUUGAACGUGUUAUGUUUAGUCAUAUAUCAGUUGCGGAUUGAUGUUUUAUGGAUUCGUUAUGCUGUUCCUCAACCUACUGUAACUGUUGUAUCAAUACUCUUAGUUAAUCUAGUCCCUACUUGGGUCACCUCAUCUUUCAUUUUUCAGUACUUGGGGUGGAUAGGAUAACCUUAACUCUGGUGUUUGUCGGCUAAACUCUCUUACUCAUUUUACCUUAUUUACAUACACGGCCCACAAAAUUGAGGUAAGAUAAAGUGAGUUCCUAUCUCCUUAUUCAGUAUGAAAUGAUUGUCAUUCAGUUUUUUGCUGCACCAUAUGGAUAAAUGGAAAUCAAACCUGGGGUUGAUGUUGGCUGUUUCUGAAUUGCUUGUCUGUUUAUCUAUUUGAGCCACAGAUGAUGAUUGGAUCGGAGAAUUUGAAGAUUAUGUUUGUCCCUUUUAACAGGUCCACCAAUUGAUGCCACUUUACACACACAAACACACACAAUGGAAAAUUCGACUCCAGAAAAAUAAUCAAGAUCAUGAUAAGUUCUAUUAGUUGUUUCGGAGUCAUGUUGAAUGGCUGGUAUAUACUUUUGAAGUUAUUUAGAUAUACUUAUUCUAUAGUUUGACUGCUCAGCCAUCUUUCAAAUGUUAUGGAUUGGUGAUUUACUUGUAUUUAGUCUUCAGAUAUGACAGGAUGUAGUCGUGUGGUGCUUAUCAUCUGUUCAUGAAUUUAUCUUGGAAAAUCACCUAAGAGAUGAGCUUUGUUUCUUAACAUGAGGAAAAUUCUUCCUCGAGAUUUGCAUAAAAUGUUCCUUUCCUUUUAUAGGGUGGAAUAAACGAAGAAUAAAUGAAGCCUCUACUUAGUGUUGCUGUUGCUCUUGUUAUUAGCUUGCUCUGUGUUUAGCACUCAUUUUGUGAUGAACCUUCUGAUACUGGACCAAACAAGUGGAAAUGUAGAUGCUCUUCAUUACAAGGGAACCAUAUAUACUCUCUGGCUAAUUGUUCCCAAGUCAUGUGAUUGCCAUUCAGGCAAAAUUCAUGGUAGAUUGCCAAAAACUAAUUGGAUAUGCUUAAGGUACAGGCCAAGCCUCAUUCUCCCAAUGUAAUGCUGCAAAAAUUUAAAGUUCAAAACAUUGGCACUUUGACAUGAAAAUAAUUUAUCGUACCAACUUUUACUUUUUUAAGAUAGCAUUGAAGAGUUAUUAUAGUCACUAAUUGAUAAUAUGCUUAAGGUAGGAAUGGUGUACCAUGUACGUAUUCACCACUUAGGUGAUUGAUAUGGUUAUGACAAGAAUGCAGUAUGGGUUCCCUAUUUUAAGAGAAAGAGGGAGAUUGUGGUCACGUGCUGAAUAUAGUCUGGUAACUGCUUUACCUUCCAUGUAGAUGCUGAAGAGAAUGCAUCCAUAUGGACAUGUGAAUGUGAUCCAAACGGAUUUCCUAAAGUGACAUCAGAUGGCCAUAACCUUAGUUGUUUUAAUGCCUGCAAUUGCACCUGGGGAACUAUCAGGAAGCCACUAGGUUCAAAGAAACAAAUUUCGAGCAAGAUUGUAGUAAUUUUUCUAUCAAUAUGUGUUAUAUGAACAACUAUUACAUUUCUUGCCUCAGUUGUAUGUCAUGUCUACCGAAGGGACAAAGGUCCUAUUCAAUCACCAAUGAUCUCAUCAGAUAAAGAAACAAGUCACAGUAGUACCACCAACUUGAUUAGUCAUAGGACUUUUUCAGUGCCAGAAACAAAAGUUGCUAUAACAUAUUACAGGAUGCUUUCAGAAGGCCUCUUUGUUGUUUGGGAGCCAAAGAGAAACCUUUCAUGGAAAUAUUAUUAUUAAUUGCUCUAGGUGGAAGUAGUUACGUAUACCGUGGUUGGCUGAAAGAUGGUAGUGAUGUGGCAGUCAAGAGACUAAAAGAUCAGAGAGGGCCUGAGGCAGAUUAUCAAUUUUUUACCGAGGUUGCACCUAAUCUUGCUUCAGUUUUCUUUGCUUGGUUUGUCUGAGCCACUGCCAGGAAACUUGGUGUGGGGGUGAAGACUAAUUUACCUUUUUAAGCAACAAUGUCGUUACUUGGUUGUAGCUGUAAGCCUUUAACCUCAAAAAAAUUGUGGCUUUCGUUUCCUUAUGGUUGUAUUUGAGAUCUAGGUUAUCAAAUCGAUAUUCAAAUUAUGAAUUG